rnacentral:rRNA from 1 species
AUGGAUUAUAGACCAAUUAGCCUUUGCAAUGUCAUUUAUAAAAUUAUUGUUAAAUCUCUGGCAAACAGACUUAAGCCCCAUCUUCCAGAUUAUGUUGAUCCAGCUCAACAAGCUUUUAUUGAGGGUAGACGGAUUACUGACAACAUUAUUGUUGCUCAAGAAAUUUCUCACUCUUUUACUCUUAGGUCUUGGAAACACAAUGCCUUCAUGCUAAAGAUAGAUCUGGCUAAAGCUUUUGACCGUCUAGAAUGGAACUUCAUUGUCUCGGCUCUUUCUCGUAAAGGGCUACAUGGUCAUUUCAUCAAUCUUGUGCAUGCUUGCAUUUCCUCACCCAUUUUCUCUGUCCUCAUUAAUGGUCAGCCGUCUCCCAAAUUUAAGUCUCACGGAGGUAUCAGACAGGGUUGUCCCAUGUCUCCUUACCUUUUUGUUCUUGCCAUCAAUGAACUUUCUAUCAUGCUUAAUGAAGCUGCUUAG